UACGUAGGGUGCGAGCGUUGUCCGGAAUUAUUGGGCGUAAAGAGCUCGUAGGCGGCCUGUCGCGUCGGAUGUGAAAGCCCGGGGCUCAACCCCGGGUCUGCAUUCGAUACGGGCAGGCUGGAGUGUGGUAGGGGAGAUCGGAAUUCCUGGUGUAGCGGUGAAAUGCGCAGAUAUCAGGAGGAACACCGGUGGCGAAGGCGGGUCUCUGGGCCGAUACUGACGCUGAGGAGCGAAAGCGUGGGGAGCGAACAGG
rnacentral:rRNA from 1 species